AAGAAGAAAGAGUAGGCUGCUAACCUACAAUGUAGCUAAGAGUUAUCUUCUUG
rnacentral:tRNA from 1 species